rnacentral:lncRNA from 1 species
GGGGUUUAGGUGAGAGGACGCUGGGAAGACAGGCAGGGGUUUAGGUGAGAGGACGCUGGGAAGACAGGCAGGGGUUUAGGUGAGAGGACGCUGGGAAGACAGGCAGGGGUUUAGGUGAGAGGACGCUGGGCAGGGGUUUAGGUGAGAGGACGCUGGGAAGACAGGCAGGGGUUUAGGUGAGAGGACGCUGGGAGGACAGGCAGGGGUUUAGGUGAGAGGACGCUGGGAAGACAGGCAGGGGUUUAGGUGAGAGGACGCUGGGAAGACAGGCAGGGGUUUAGGUGAGAGGACGCUGGGAAGACAGGCAGGGGUUUAGGUGAGAGGACGCUGGGUAGACAGGCAGGGGUUUAGGUGAGAGGACGCUGGGAAGACAGGCAGGGGUUUAGGUGAGAGGACGCUGGGCAGGGGUUUAGGUGAGAGGACGCUGGGAGGACAGGCAGGGGUUUAGGUGAGAGGACGCUGGGAAGACAGGCA